AACGAACGCUGGCGGCAUGCCUAACACAUGCAAGUCGAACGAGACCUUCGGGUCUAGUGGCGCACGGGUGCGUAACGCGUGGGAACCUGCCCUUAGGUUAGGAAUAACUCCCCGUAAGGUGUGCUCAUAACGCUUAAUCUCAUCGGACCAAAGAUUUAUCGCCUUUGGAUGGGCCCGCGUUGGAUUCGCCCGUUGGUAGUGUAAAAGCCUACCAACGCGACGAUCCAUAGCUGGUCUGAGAACAUGCUCAUUCGCGCUGGGACUGAGACACGGCCCACACUCGUACGGGAGGCUGCAGUGGGGAACAUUGUGCGCUGAGCGAAGACGUGAUCCAGCAGUGCCGGGUAAGUGGUGCAGGCCGUAGGGUUGUAAAGCUGUCUUACCCGAGAUGAUAAUGACGGUACCGGGAGAAUAAGCUCCGGCUAACUCCGUG
rnacentral:rRNA from 1 species